GCCCCGCGCUGGCCGCCGCGCGCAGGCGCAGGACCCACUGCCGGACGUGGAGCCCAGAGGGCUGCCGGGUCGGACUGCGGGGCGGGGCGGGGCAAGGGUCCCGGCGGACGUGGCCGCGGAAUUCCAGCGUGUGUAUGGGAAGCUUGUGCGUUAAGGCCUGGGGGCCUGUGUCGGCGUGGGGAGAAACUUCAAAUGUGGGGUACAGGGCGAGACGUGGGCCGUUUGACAAACUGGUGACAUCAAGAAGACUCCAGACUCCGCAAAGCAGUUUCCAGCCUAUUGGAAUAAACGUUUAAUCGAAAUAUAA